AUGACAAAUCAGAUUUUUCCUCCUAAUAUUUAGCUUUUUCUCCUGAAAAAAUUCAAAUCAAGCUAAAAAUACUAAAAAUUAAGAGUAAAAAUCUGAUUUGUCAU
rnacentral:pre_miRNA from 1 species